UACGUAGGGUGCAAGCGUUGUCCGGAAUUAUUGGGCGUAAAGAGCUCGUAGGCGGUCUGUCGCGUCUGCUGUGAAAACUCGGGGCUUAACCCCGGGCCUGCAGUGGGUACGGGCAGACUAGAGUGCGGUAGGGGAGACUGGAAUUCCUGGUGUAGCGGUGAAAUGCGCAGAUAUCAGGAGGAACACCGGUGGCGAAGGCGCUCUACUGGGCCGUAACUGACACUGGAGAGACGACAGCUAGGGGAGCAAUGGG
rnacentral:rRNA from 1 species